AUUAUUUCAUUUAAUUUAUAACAAACCCAAAAAUACUUGCCCCCAAAAAGAACCUCCAAACCCUAAAACUAAAAAUACCUGGGUUUUUCUUCUGUUGCUUGUUAUGAAAAAGAUUCCAAAUCACACAGCUCCAACCAGUAGAAAAGUCACACUGCUGAUCAAAAAGUGAGUCCUUCACUCUGCCAGCAUCUCUUUAGUACAAAUGCAUUUUCCUAAAAAGCCCUGUUAAGUUUAGCAUCCUUACAAGAGCCUUGGAACAUCAAUACUUGUCUUGUGUUCUGCUGACCUUCCUUCAACCCUAAACUAGCUGUUCCUACCCCACUGAAGUUUCUAUGUACAGAAAGACAUUUGAUGCCAGCUACAUUUGAAGAAAAUAAACUAUAUUUAAAGCUAUUAGUCAGUAUCACAGAUAGGUCCUGCCCUCCCCCAUCCCCCUGGGAUGGUUUGCCCUUUUUAAAUGGAGUCAGUUUGGAUAGAGUAUGUGUUUCUUGUAUGCCUGUUCUGAAGGGGCCUCCCACAGAUGCUAUUUAACAUAUCCUCUGUUAAUUAAAGGAGAGGUCAGUGUAUUUUAUCUGUUCAUCUAGGUGGAGCUGUCAAAGUGGAUUUGGAGCUGGAUUUGAAGACCGUUUUAAUUUGUAAAUUUGGUGGAUGCAUGCCUGCAGGUUUCCACUAAAAAAAUGGAGGCAUUGCUUUUGAUACAUCCUCUGGACUAAAAGUUUCCUGGCAUCAGUGAAAUAAAGUAGGAAGUCCCUGCAAGUGGCAUGGCUGAAUAGAAGGGAGCCUUCCAUAAAUUGCAUGGAACAAGCUCAAGCCAGGCAGGGACACAAGGGUGACAUGAAGAUUUCAUGCUGAUCAGCUUCUUGAAAAUUCUGUGUGUGCUAUCAGUCACUGAGAAAGAAUAACUAUGGUCUCUCAGCAGAAUGGGACCCUUGAAGAAACUGCGAAGCAGAAAGGCUCCCUGCUUUCUUCCAGCUCCCUUUCAUAUUUCCUAGCUGGUGUUUGAAGAGCUGUUACCUGCAUAGACCUGCCCUGAGAGCUCCCAAGGAAAGGUGUAAGAAACUCUUGGUCUUUGUUUUUCCAAUGACUUUGUGGAGGAGAGCUGCCUGUCACCGUACUCUGACACCAGUGUGCUACCAAUAUCGUGGAAUCUUCCCUCAUGGAGACUUUUCUGUCAGGCUUUCAUUCAGAGAAAGGAAAUAGUGAACUUUCAAAACUCUACCAUAGAUUUGCAAGGAAGCAGAAUCGAGUCAAAUCUGGUUAUGUGUGGGUUCAAAGGGAAGUUUCUCCACUGCUUUGUUUACAGGAGAAAAGCACCAGAAGGUCUCCCCCCCGGUUAAUUCCUGUUAACAGUGAUACUGGAGAAAUGUUUCUUUCACUCAAAAUGGCACUGCACUAAGGCAAGUUUGCAAAUACCUGUCCUAUCCACACUGUAAGCUGAGGAACAGGUAUUUACUGCUACAAAAAGUGAUGAAGAGUUCUUGAUGUCGGGGAGCAAGAAGAGACUUAGCACAGCAUCUCUCUGUAAGACAGAAACUUCCAUUGCAUAUUAUCCCAUGCAUAUGGAUAAGUACAUAUUUAAUGAUCUUUCUCUCUGGUUUUAGACCUAAAUCCUCAUGGAAAACAAUAUGUGUCUUAGGAAUCCUGAAUGUAAAAUUAUCAUGCUUCUACUCAGUGCUGUUUAACUGCUGAAUUAAUCAAGUACAAUUGCUUAAGGCCCUAGAGGGAAGGAUGUAAUAAAUCUUAGGAGUAUUUGUUCUGGUUUAUGGCUGGGAGAAACUGCGUAACAUUUAAUCAGAUGUUAUAAACAUUUGCAGUGGCACAUUUUCCUUACUCGGGGCAUUGUGGCAUGAGUCUUGAGAAACUGAAGAGGGUAUGUCCUGAGGACUGGAUGCAUUUAUUGUAGUUUUUUAUAGCUGACAGCAUUGCUUUGCGCAGGGUGGGAAGGGGCCGGCUGCUGAGGAGCUGCACGCUGUGCAUCCCAGACUUUCGGGUAGAGGGCAGUCGGGUACCGCACACGGGGCUGGGAGCCCAGCUCCGGGCUGAGCCUGCUGCCCUGGCCUGGGGAUGGAGAGCAUCCCCCAGCCCCAGAUAAACUUCCCUGACGUGGAGAAGCAGAGAGGUGGAUUCAUUGUGCCAGACGCUGAUACUGCUCUGGAGUAAGACAAUUUGGUGGCAGUACAUGGAGUUUCUCUACACUGGGAGCAGGAGCUGCAGAGACAUGCAGCAGCCAGUUGAAAAAACUAUCCUUGCUGAAAUAAGAAUCUUCCUGAGUUUAAAAUGGAGCUGCUUUAAGCCUUUUCCCUCCCUGCAGGGAAAGUGGUGGUCAGUCCCAGCGCACUGAGUGGAGUGUGCUGUUCUUGUGCACAGCAUGUCCUGCCCCUGGGACAUUGAUCACUGGAAGCAAAGCAAGGAGGCAGAGCCUCUUUCUCUAGAAAAGACAAGUGCCUGCCAUUCCAGCAAAAGGAGCUUUGUUUCACUUUAGGGGAUGAUGUCCUAAGGCAUUAGUGGGAUUUUUUGCUUCUAAUUUACAAGUAGCUGAACAAGCUGGUUGCACCACUCUUGUUCACUGCAUGCUUUGCUCUGAACCCUUCAGAGCUGCUUAGAAGCUUUGGAAGGUCUAAAUGAUGUCAGCUUGGGUAAGGAGCCAAAGCUGGACUCCUCUUGUGCCAGGAAGGGAAGGGUGAGCUGAAGUUUCUGGGUUGAACCCUGAGUAGAGCAAGCCCUGCUCCUUGUUCUGGCCAGGGAUGGGUGAGAAGCUGCUGCUUCUGCCUCUGGUGCCCCAGCUCUCUGCAAGAGCUGCUUGCUGAUUUCCUGGGUGAAGCAGUCAGAGGGGCUGUGAUUAUUGCAUUGUGCCAGUAGUUUAUGGCCCUAGACAGGAGACAAGAGAUGGGCUGUUCCACAGGGAAUAGUAAGUCCCUGUGGUACCAGGUCUUCUUCUUGCUCAGGUAUUUGAGAGCCUCUGGAUGGUGGCAGGAUGCAGCUGCUUGAGUUGCUGGAAAGGGUCUCUUGGGAAAUGUCUCCAGAAAUUGCAUGGCAGAAUUGGACCUUUGUUGUUCAGCUGGUUCAAAGUAAGGCAGAAAACAAAAGGCAGUCCAGGGGCAAAUAUCUGCUGCUGAGGCUGAGCACGUAGUGAUCAUUCGUCCCCUCGGACUGUAAAUCUGGUCCCAUGCCACUCAGCUUCUGUGGGCUUCUCAGACCUUCCCAGCAGAACCUGCACAGUCACUGGGCAGUGCAUCUACAGACAAAUCAGCCCUGCUUCAAGAAUGCAGCUGAAAGCAUAAGGAAUGCAGGAUGGAACUGUGUCUGCAGAGGGGCCUGAGGGUCUUCUGCUUCACAUCUUACAGUGGCUGCUGUGUAAAGCACAUCCCCAGAGCUGCACAAGGCAGGAGCCACCUGCCACAGGAGCCUUGCAAACACCCCAGCCAGCUGGCUGCUUCCCAGCUGGUGUUGGAAGUCUAGUUAAAAAAGUGCUCCCUGCUGAGGGGCCUUUACUCAUCCAAGGGAUAUUUUUGUCGUUUCCCAUUGGGCUGUUGAAAGCACAACUCAUGAGAAUCAGAAUGUACUUGGGCAGUGAGGGACCUUCUCCUCUCUAGGAGCAGUGUCUGGUGCAAUGGUGAAAUGCCUCAGGGUUUGCCUAUCACAGCCUAAAAUCCAAGCAAAUUGCCAGCUGUGAUGCUGUCAGUGCUGGGGAUGCUGCUGGUGUUGGUACCCGUGAGCACAGUGCCUUCAUUUCUCUCCUCCCUGGCUCCUGCCCUUCCCAUGCCAGUGCACUACACCUGUGCCUCUGUUCUGACAGACCAACAUCACACUGGCUUUGUUUGCAACAGCUGUAGAGAGCAGCAAGGCCACACCAUGAAAUGUGACCAAUUUUUAUCAGAACAAUUUCCUGAGAAGCUUUUUUCUUUCUUUUCUUUUUGUUUUUCUCCUUCCGUAACGUAACUUUAGGUUUUAAGAGGGGAAGGAAAAUAAUAAAUGGUCUAGAGAAAAUAGAUUAGUGGGACCAUGUCUUAGUACAGUGGAACAAAGGGGCAUUCAAUGAAAUUAGAAGGUGGUAAAUUCAGAUCAGAGGAAGUUAUUUUAUAUGAGGUGGUUCCAGGCGGAGGAUCUCAUUGCCUCCAGAGAUAGCAAAGGCCAACAGUGUGGUGGGUUUUGAAAGGGCUGAAAUUUGGAUGGGCAGCAGGAAUGCUGAAAGUUACCAAAGUCAAAGGGAGGGUGCAUGGUGAUAAUUGGGUAGAAAUACUAAGCUAUCAGGAAAAAUAUUACUUUUUUUUAUCAGAAGCUAGGAUCUGCAGUGGAACAGGUCAUUUCAUUGUGCUUUGUGGGACUCCACAAGCAAUCCCAAACAUGCCCAGCACAAAACAGUGAUGCAGGGAAGCUCGUUCAGGGAGCCUGCCAGCAGCACCAGAAUAUGAGCACAGAAUAUGCCACAGGGCCACCCUUCCUCUCACAGGCUCGGGCUUUCAGAGCUUCUCCUCAUGUGAGCAGGGCUUGGACACUCUGGACUUGACUCUAGUGAGAAAUUGUGAGUGUCAAGAAAAUUGGGUUCUAUUCCUCUGCUUCAAUGCUGUUGUAAAAAUAAAUGUCUUUAGAGAUAAUCAUAAAAGUUAAUGCAAGUCUUGAAUAUAGCUUUUUUUCCCCUCCUACCAACCUAAUAAAAUGUAUUGCUUUUUCUCCCAGGUAUUUUUGUAUUAGCAGGCAGUGGCUGCUGCUGGAGGAGAACUGUUCUAGUGCUAUAAAAUGACUCCAGAUGGAGACUCACUUGCUGUUCACUGUCUUCAGGCUCAAGCAAAGUUGAAAUGUAAUGCUUGUCCUGAUGUCACCAUCCUCAGCCAGGAAAUAUGGGAAUGUGUUUGGCUCAGGGAACAGCGACGAUCUCCCCAUAUGAUGUCUGAUUUAUCAGAUGUCUGCUAAAACCAAUAGUUUUGGAAUAUUUUUUAGAUUUUCUUUAAGAAAAGGAAGAAAAUGAAGGUGAAUGAAAUGGGACUGGUGCUCUGGGCUUGACAGGCGUAGCACAGAAAUCAAUCCCUGCAGAUUUGGCGUUAACAGUCAUACUGAAUAUCUGGAUCCAGUGCUCCUGGGAGAUCAUAUUUCCAUCUGCUUGGGAAAGUCACGGCCGCUCUCUCCCUACAGCUGACAUGGAGAUACAGCCAAAGCUUCUUCCUGGCAGACUGAGCCAGCAAGGGCUCUGAGUGCCUACCACCAUAAGGACCAAAUGCUAUGAAAAAAAAUUAAAAAUAGAAGACUUAUGUGGUGCUCACUACACAGGGAAGUGAAAAACCUGUUUUUUCCAGUGUGCAGAGGUACAUCACUGCUGCGGUGGCAAUGAGGUGUGAGGGACUGAGCAAAUCCAGGGUGAGCUCGGUCCUGCUCAGGACAUCUCUGCAGAGCACCUGGUAUCUAGACAUGCUGCUGCAGCAGCAGGAGGGCAUCCAGUCUCUGAAGAUUAUACUGCUGCUGGAAUACACAGCAGCAGUAGUAGAAUAAGGAUUUUCUGUGCCUUAGUGCUGAAAUGCUUCAGGAUUUACCUAUCAAGCUCUGAAAUCCAAGCAAAGAAAAUCCUGGCUCUGGUGAAGCACUGAACAGAUGCUCCCUCUUAUUCUUCCUGGUUUGGAAGAGGCAAAGGAAGUUAUCUAUUAGCUUAUCUAAGCUAAACUGCAAGAGUAAGAGUCUUUGCACCAUCCGCCCAUUUUGUUCUUGCAGAGAACCCACUGUUUCUCACGUAUGAGACAAUUUGUGCACAUUUCAUGUUUUCUUUGGAAAUGGCUUGCACUAAGCUAAACUUUUAUUCCCUUUCUCUGUAGUCUGCCAGUUUUUCUGCUCUUUUCUAAGUGACCCACACUCUAACAGCUUGUCCUGGCUGCUGUGCUAUUGUUCCGCGCACAUGUGCUAUCACCGCUAUUGCUGCCGGGCUGUUUGUCUUUUGAUUGCAUGUGGCUGGAAGAUUAAGCCUCAAUGAGCCCCGUUACUUUCUCAUGGGUUUUCCUCUCUUCCAGCAGCUCAGCCUGGCAGGUGACUUUGCCAUUGUUGUGCCGUCUGGGGCUACGUAUGCACGUAGGAAGUUCACAGGGGAGAUUUUCUACGUUUUCCUUUCCUGCCCAGGGAUCUGUAAACACUCUUGUCAAAGCAAGCGUUCGGCUUUUCUGUUGUCCUCACGGCAGCACGCUGAGGGGCAGCUGUGCGCCAUGGUUUUCCCCAAGAAAACUUGGAGAUUUCAAGGAGGGGGAAUUGUAAUCCAUUGUUGGAUACCGGUUCCAUCGGGUUUCCUUCUCCACGGAAAACAGACGACAGGAAAGCAAUUGCAGGAGCAGAUGUGACUUGUGACGUGAAUGUUACUUCUGGCCCUUCUGUGCCUUUUUUUUUUUGACUAAUCCAGUAGGGUGAUUCCAAAGCAAGUCAGCUGGUACAUGAGACAGAUGAGCCUAUGGUGGUCAUUUCAAGCUUUUCCUUGGCUCUGUAAGAUCCAGGGACAAUUUGUGAUACCUUACCAACCAUUUUUAAAAAUAAAAUUAGCAAGUAAGAGGAAUUUUUGGUAUUUCAAUAUGUGCAUCCUGUGUAAUUGCCUGCAUGAAUCCCGCUGCUCUGUCCACUGACUGAUGUCUCUGUUGUGAGCAAGGUAUUGAAGUGUUGCUUGUAAUCCCUUUGUAGUAAUAAAUCUGUAAGUGUUUUCCAGCUCAUGUUUCUUUUCAAGACAAGUUAAAUCCAUAGACUGAAGUCUGGGAAAAAAGCUGGUUUUAACUAUUUAGGUCUUUUAAAUCACCUCAUUUUUAAGGAUAUAAUGUAAUUUCUGCUGUAUCAGAUGGAGCUGAUACAGAGUAAGUGUUUGUAACCUUUCUAGAUGCUCCCUUGUCUCAGUGUUUUGUGAGGAUAAGCCCAGUGGGCUAUCAGUUUCGAUCUCCCUUUGGGUCCAUGUUGAGGCCAGCAGCCUGGCCAGCCACUGCUCCCUUGGCACAGCACCUUCCCUGAGCAGCCUGGUGUCCAAGUCAUCCUAGAGCUGUGAAUUGUCCCCUGACAGCUGCAGCCCAAGAGUUUGUGUCUCCCUGCACCAAAAGCUGGAUGUGUCCUUGAACUUCCUUGAUGCCCGCACAACAAUGCCUUGGUGCUGCCCUUGAGCUACAUGCCAGCCUUGGAGUCCCAAAGGAAGUGGUAACUACCGGAGCCCCAGGAGUCAGACCCUGAGGUUCCUCAUCUCUUUAUGCGCAGGAGCUUAAAACUCACCUGGCAUUGUCUGCCCAAAGCUCACGUGUCAGCUGGGAACUGGACAACACAGGCUGCUGCUGACUGGUGACAGAGCCAGGUACACAUCUGGUUCAGUGGGUACACAUCUGGGGGCGGAGGACAUGUCUGCUGCUCACCUUGCUGCUGCCCAGCACUUCAGGGGCCCCUCUCCCUGCCCACAGCCCCAAGACAGUACAAGUAGUGGUGGAUGUUAUGGCAGCUCAUCAAGUAGGGCACUGUAAAGCUGAAUUUAGUCCAUACUCUUCACUGGCAAAGGUUGUGCUUUCAUGUUCUGGAGGGGUGACUGAGGAAGGGAAGUUGGAAGACACAGCUGGCAGGGGUGGCCACCAGCAGGCUGCAGCUCUGAGUGGCACCUGUUAAUGUGAGGGCUGACUCCAUCUCACGUUAUAAAUACACUCAUGUUUCUGGCCAGAGAAAACUUUCUUCCAAAAUGUGCCCUGCCUCAUUAGCAGUCCCCACCCAGGGACCUCCUUUCAACUUCACCAAGCUUCCCAGCACCUCACCACAGGGACCAGUCAGGGACACAAUAGCUCCAGCCUGUUUAUUUCAUUUCACUUUUCCUCUCCUCUUGGCCAGCGGCCAGCAGAGAUGUUCUUUGCAAAGAUAAUAGUUUCAACUUAAUCAUUCACCUCUUAUGUGUCUAAAAGGAGUUAAGGAGACUGGAAGUUUCCAAGAAAAAUAAAUGAACUGAACUCUUUCGA